AUUGAACGCUGGCGGCAGGCUUAACACAUGCAAGUCGAGCGGGGGAAGGUAGCUUGCUACCGGACCUAGCGGCGGACAGGUGAGUAAUGCUUAGGAAUCUGCCUAUUAGUGGGGGACAACAUCUCGAAAGGGAUGCUAAUACCGCAUACGUCCUACGGGAGAAAGCAGGGGAUCUUCGGACCUUGCGCUAAUAGAUGAGCCUAAGUCGGAUUAGCUAGUUGGUGGGGUAAAGGCCUACCAAGGCGACGAUCGGUAGCGGGUCUGAGAGGAUGAUCCGCAAGACUGGGACUGGGACACGGCCCAGAGUCCUACGAGAGGUAGCAGUGGGGAAUAUUGGACAAUGGGGGGAACCCUGAUCCAGCCAUGCCGCGUGUGUGAAGAAGGCCUUAUGGUUGUAAAGCACUUUAAGCGAGGAGGAGGCUACUUUAGUUAAUACCUAGAGAUAGUGGACGUUACUCGCAGAAUAAGCACCGGCUAACUCUGUGCCAGCCGCCGCCGUAA
rnacentral:rRNA from 1 species